rnacentral:rRNA from 1 species
AUGGGCCUCUUUGACGGCCUCUUCCCCGGCCGGCGCGACGACGGCGUGAGGAUGGGCCAGGAGGCGUCGGCGUCGGCGUCCACGUCGGCGCAGCAGUGCGGCGGCGACAUCUCCGCGCUCUCGCCCACCGCCGCCUCCGUCGUCCGCCGAUGCGCGCAGUGCGUGUCCCAGUCCCAUCUCCCUGCGCCGUCCUUGGAUUCUUGGACUGACGGAUCGAUCCGAUGUUGGUUUUCGUGGGUGGCGUGCAGGAUCGCGGGCGUGCCGGUGGAGCAGCUGGUGCGGCGGGUGGAGCCGGACGAGCAGCCGCCGCUCGCCUACGCCAGGAGCAUCGUGGAGUACUGCUCCUACGUCGCCCUGCGCGCCGAGACCCGGCGCCGCCACGACCACCUCGGCGACAGGGAGUUCCACUCCCUCACCUACGACAUGAUGCUCGCCUGGGAGGCGCCCGACCACGACACCGACGCGGAGCUCCAGAAAACGGCGUUCGCCUGGGGUGACGGCGGCGAUGACGAUGACGACGACGGCGGGUCCAUAUUCUACUCCAGCCCCACGAAGACGGCCAUCCAGGUUGACGGGAGGAGGACGGUCGGGCCGGAGGCGUUCGCGAAGAUCGCGCCCGCCUGCCCGGCCAUGGCGCACCCGAUCACCGUCCGCAACCUCUUCGACGCGCUCACCAACUCCACCGGCGGCCGCCUCCACUUCCUCAUCUACCACAAGUACCUCACGAGCCUGGACGACGUGCUGAGGUCGACGAAAUGCAUCUCCGGCGGACACAAGGCGCCGGCGCUGGACCUCUGCGACGGCGAGGUGGUGCUCGACAUCUUCGGAGCCGCCACGACGCAGCCGGUCCUGCAGCACAUCGGCACGUCCACGUGGCCUGGGAGGCUCACGCUGACGAACCACGCCCUCUACUUCGAGGCCAUCGGCGUCGACUUCUCCUACGGCGACGCCGUCGUCUACGACCUCACCAAGGACCUGAAGCAGUGCGUGAAGCGCGAGUCCACGGGGCCAUGGGGAGCUCACCUCUUCGACAAGGCCGUCAUGUACAAAUCUAGCUCCAUAAAUGAGCCGGUGUUCUUCGAGUUCCCCCAAUUCAAGGGCCACAGCCGGCGGGACUACUGGUUCGCUGUGAUCAAGGAGGUGCUGCACGCCCACAAGUUCAUCAGGAGGUACCGGCUCGUGGGCUUCCAGAAGGCCGAGGCGCUCGCCGUCGCGACGCUGGGGAUCCUCCGGUACCGCGCCGUGAAAGAGGGGUUCCACAUACUGCCGGCCUACUUCAAGACCACCCUGGCCUUCAACCUAGCAGAGAAGCUGCCCAAGGGGGACAAGAUAUUGGAGGCAUUGUAUGGCCAGCUGCAGGAACAUUGCUCGAGGUUCAGGGGAGGCGAUGACUUGGCAGCUCAGGGCAGUUCCGACGAGCUGGCACUCGCGGAUCCAUUUCCGCUGUCGGCAUUUACGCUCGUGCGGAUGGGGCUGCUGACGCUCAGGAAGGAGGACAAUCCCGAGGAAAGGGAUUUCGCCGUCGGGGAUGUCCAGAUUGGAAGGACCAGCUCGGUGCAGAUGGCUCUGGAGCGAUCUGUUGGGUAUUCCGGUAGAGUGGAGGCCGCACGCGCGACGCUCGAUCAGGUCAAGGUGGAGGACAUUGACACCAAUGUGGCUGUCCUAAAGGAAUUAGUGUUUCCUUUGAUUGAAAUAGGCAAGAGGCUUGUCUUUCUGGCUGAGUGGGAAGAUCCACUUAAGUCAUAUGUUUUCUUGCUCUGUUUCCUCUACGUAGUUUACAGAGGCUUGAUAUGGUACAUAUUUCCCGGCUUUUUGGUCGGGUCUACCGCUUUCAUGCUAUGGAACAAGCACCAUGGCAACAGGCAUUUCAUCGAAGCAUUCGAAGUCACAACCCCGCCUCGUCGACGAACCGUUGAACAACUCCUUGCUCUACAGGAAGCCAUCUCACAGCUGGAGGCACAUGUCCAAGCUGGAAACAUUUUUCUCCUCAAGCUUCGGUCCCUCAUGCUCGCAGCUUUUCCUCAGAGCACGAACAAAGUCGCGACCACGAUGCUCGUUGCGGCUGCAGCAUUUGCGUUUAUGCCGUUCCGGAUCAUAUUCGUGCUCAUUCUGUUGGAGGCUUACACGAGGCAUAUGCCACUGAGGAAGAAGAGCAGCGAGAAGCUGGUGAGGAGGUUGAGGGAGUGGUGGCUCCGGAUCCCUGCUGCUCCUGUGCAGCUCUUGAGGCCUCAUGACUCCAGAAGAUGGAGGUCGAGGCGGAGAUAA